GGGCUCACACAAGCGGUGGAGGAUGUGGCUUAAUUCGAGGCAACGCGAAGAACCUUAUCCUGGAUUUGACAUGUAUGGAUUAACUCUGUGAAAGCAGAGCCACGCCUUCGGGUGGAACAUACACAGGUGCUGCAUGGCUGUCGUCAGCUCGUGUCGUGAGACGUCGCGUUAAGUCGCUUAACGAGCGCAACCCUUGUCCUUAGUUGCCAGCACGUCAUGGUGGGGACUCUAAGGAGACUGCCGGUGUUAAACCGGAGGAAGGCGGGGACGACGUCAAGUCAUCAUGGCUUUAUGUCCAGGGCUGCACACGUCCUACAAUGCAAUGUACAAAGGGCAGCGAACCCCGCGAGGGUAAGCAAA
rnacentral:rRNA from 1 species